CCUACGGGAGGCAGCAGUGAGGAAUAUUGGUCAAUGGACGAGAGUCUGAACCAGCCAAGUAGCGUGAAGGAUGACUGCCCUAUGGGUUGUAAACUUCUUUUAUAUGGGAAUAAAACGUUCCACGUGUGGGAUUUUGUAUGUACCAUAUGAAUAAGGAUCGGCUAACUCCGUGCCAGCAGCCGCGGUAAUACGGAGGAUCCGAGCGUUAUCCGGAUUUAUUGGGUUUAAAGGGAGCGUAGGUGGAUUGUUAAGUCAGUUGUGAAAGUUUGCGGCUCAACAGUAAAAUUGCAGUUGAAACUGGCAGUCUUGAGUACAGUAGAGGUGGGCGGAAUUCGUGGUGUAGCGGUGAAAUGCUUAGAUAUCACGAAGAACUCCGAUUGCGAAGGCAGUUCACUGGACUGCAACUGACACUGAGGCUCGAAAGUGUGGGUAUCAAACAGGAUUAGAUACCCCAGUAGUC
rnacentral:rRNA from 1 species